CGUAACUGUGCGCACGCGCCGAGAGGCGUGUGCCCGUUACCAUGGUAGCCAGAGCAGCUGGCGGCGGCUCUGGUCGCCGAGAUCUGCCAGUAUUUGUGCGGGGCCCAGGCGCGGUGCCGCUGCGGAGCUGUGGUUACGGUCUCCCGAGCCCAGCCGCUCUCUGUGGCGGGGGACAGCCAGCCGGGGUCUUACUUUAGGAGCCUUCCCAUGGCUUCCCAGGAAAGGGUGGAGGCAGUGACCAAAGGAACAGAGUUCUGGCGCUGCCCCAAGCCGGCCACUUACACCCCGGGGACCUGCGAGCUGCUCAGAGUGAUGAUGAAGGAAUCCAAGCUGACUAACUUCCAACAGCGCCACAUCAUGGACACCAUGAAAAGUAAGAGGCAGUCCACAGAGGCUUCCUGGGCAGAGGGACUCUGGACCACACUUUUAAUCCUCUUCCAUAUUAAGGGGUAGGGAAGGGACUUCAUUUAAAAAGACCAAAGAAGGGGCGCCUGUGUGGCUCAGUUGGUUAAGCGACUGCCUUUGGC